AGCGAACGCUGGCGGCAGGCCUAACACAUGCAAGUCGAACGAACCUUUCGGGGUUAGUGGCGGACGGGUGAGUACCACGUGGGAACGUGCCUUUAGGUUCGGAAUAACUCAGGGAAACUUGUGCUAAUACCGAAUGUGCCCUUCGGGGGAAAGAUUUUUCGCCUUUGGAGCGGCCCGCGUCUGAUUAGCUGGUUGGUAGAGGUAAUGGCUCACCAAGGCGACGAUCAGUAGCUGGUCUGAGAGGAGGAUCAGCCACAUUGGGACUGUGACACGGCCCAAACUCCUACGGGAGGCAGCAGUGGGGAAUCUUGCGCAAUGGGCGAAAGCCUGACGCAGCCAUGCCGCGUGAAUGAUGAAGGGCUUAGGAUUGUAAAAUUCUUUCGCCGGGGACGAUAAUGACGGUACCCGGAGAAGAAGCCCGGGCUAACUUCGU
rnacentral:rRNA from 1 species